rnacentral:rRNA from 1 species
AGAGUUUGAUCCUGGCUCAGGAUGAACGCUGGCGGCGUGCUUAACACAUGCAAGUCGAACGAACCUUCGGGUUAGUGGCGGACGGGUGAGUAACGCGUGGGAAUCUGCCCUCAGGAGGGGGAUAACGGCCGGAAACGGCCGCUAAUACCCCAUAUGCCGAGAGGUGAAAUGAAUUUCGCCUGAGGAUGAGCCCGCGUCUGAUUAGCUAGUUGGUGUGGUAAUGGCGCACCAAGGCGACGAUCAGUAGCUGGUCUGAGAGGAUGAUCAGCCACACUGGGACUGAGACACGGCCCAGACUCCUACGGGAGGCAGCAGUGGGGAAUUUUCCGCAAUGGGCGAAAGCCUGACGGAGCAACGCCGCGUGAGGGAUGAAGGCCUCUGGGCUGUAAACCUCUUUUCUCAAGGAAGAAGACAUGACGGUACUUGAGGAAUAAGCCACGGCUAAUUCCGUGCCAGCAGCCGCGGUAAUACGGGAGUGGCAAGCGUUAUCCGGAAUUAUUGGGCGUAAAGCGUCCGCAGGCGGCCUUGUAAGUCUGUCGUUAAAGCGUGGAGCUUAACUCCAUUUCAGCGAUGGAAACUACAAGGCUUGAGUGUGGUAGGGGCAGAGGGAAUUCCCGGUGUAGCGGUGAAAUGCGUAGAUAUCGGGAAGAACACCAGUGGCGAAGGCGCUCUGCUGGGCCAUAACUGACGCUCAUGGACGAAAGCCAGGGGAGCGAAAGGGAUUAGAUACCCCUGUAGUCCUGGCCGUAAACGAUGAACACUAGGUGUCGGGGGAAUCGACCCCCUCGGUGUCGUAGCUAACGCGUUAAGUGUUCCGCCUGGGGAGUACGCACGCAAGUGUGAAACUCAAAGGAAUUGACGGGGGCCCGCACAAGCGGUGGAGUAUGUGGUUUAAUUCGAUGCAACGCGAAGAACCUUACCAGGGUUUGACAUCCUGCGAAUCCCUUGGAAACGGGGGAGUGCCUUCGGGAGCGCAGAGACAGGUGGUGCAUGGCUGUCGUCAGCUCGUGUCGUGAGAUGUUGGGUUAAGUCCCGCAACGAGCGCAACCCACGUCUUUAGUUGCCAGCAUUCAGUUGGGCACUCUAGAGAGACCGCCGGUGAUAAACCGGAGGAAGGUGUGGAUGACGUCAAGUCAUCAUGCCCCUUACAUCCUGGGCUACACACGUACUACAAUGCUACGGACAAAGGGUUGCAAGCUCGCGAGAGUUAGCUAAUCCCAUAAACCGUGGCUCAGUUCAGAUCGUAGGCUGCAACUCGCCUACGUGAAGGAGGAAUCGCUAGUAAUCGCAGGUCACAUACUGCGGUGAAUACGUUCCCGGGCCUUGUACACACCGCCCGUCACACCAUGGAAUUGGCCAUGCCCGAAGUCUUACUCCAACCCUGUGGAGAAGGACCCCCAAGGUGGGCUAUGACUGGGGUGAA